ensembl:lncRNA
UUUUUAUAAUUUAAUAUAAUUAAACGGAUAAACUAAAAUGUUUCAUGGACAACAACCCUUUUUUAAAUUACGGCUGAAAUAUGACGUCCACAAUGACCAAACAAAAAAGAAGCCACUACAUAUUCUUGCCACUGAUGUGAAACAUCCCUCUGGGUUGCGACUGACAACACUCUUUGUGUUUGACGUCUGUUGUUGACAGAGUGGCUGUGAAUCUCCUCAGUGUGUCGUUUAGGCGGAAAAUCAAUCAACUUUGGCAGUUUCUAACUGUGUGGUUCUGAAUUUUUCUGAUGUGUAGGAUUGUGAUUCAAUUCAAGGUCUCCAUGAACUUCUUUACAUUAAAGCGAUACAUUGAAGCUCAUAUUUCUUUGCAUGAAUUGAGGCUAUUUUUCAACUGAGCAGAAAAUGAAAAAUGUUUGCUGGAAAAUAGAAAGUACAUAUUGGAAAAUAUUACCAGCCUGUCCAAAUUUUUGUCAGAGCCCGUGUGACGCCUAUUGUAUGACUAUGUUAUGUGUUUUGCAGGGCUGUUAAUGCCUCCCAGAUUUGAGGAAAAAAAUGUCUUUCUUAUCAGCCCUCUGAAGCUGGAGGCAAACCAUGACAACACCGUCUGCAACAGGAGUGCUGGGGAAGAACAGAGGAAACCCGUGAAUGCUGCAAAUGAGGCGUUAUUUGAAAACAUGUGGUCCGAGGUGAAAGUAAGAUACAAAGACAAACCCCAAUAAACACCAACAGGAAUAAUAACUGUGUUUGAUACUGAGUUUGGUUCGUACGGUUAAGACCGAAACGCAAAAGCCACCAACACCCCCUGAUGGGGUUUGUGCGUUGUGCAUAAGGAAUCCUCACUUCCGAUUUUUAUUUUGCAUUUACAGUUGGACAACAUGGGAUUUUGUGCAGCGGCAUUUAGCUUUAAUGAGCACGCACUAAACGAGACACCUCAGCAUGGCUGCCUCAACUGCAUCGUUUUUUAAUUUGUUAUUAAUUCAAUGACAACCGAUACAAAUGUAGUGUGAGUUUGUUAAUGUGUGAUUUUUUGAAAAAAACAAAACAAGCUAAAUCUCUAAUAAAAAAUGUCUUGUUCCAGUCACAAAAGUAACAGUCAAAUGAUGUCUAACAUGGUGUUUUCUCCACAUAUACAUCUCUUCCUCCAAAGAAAGCCUUCAGUCCCAUUGUUUGCUUCUAUUACAAAUUAAAGAAUAAUCUAAACUUCUGGUGUAACUUAUGACAUUGCAGCAUCUACACUAAGCUCUUCAGGAGCAGCCGUUGUUUAAAACAGAAAGUUGAUCCUCUGUGUCUCACACGCAGAUGGAAGCCUCACCUGCAGCUGUAGCUCCCAGCAGCAAGACUUCAGCACAUUUAGUCCAAGAAUAUUUGGCACUAAAAGGGGAACACAAGACUUUGUGGAAAGAAAUAACCAGGAGGAAGACUGUGUCACAGUGUGAGAUCCAUCCAGUGUUGUCUUGUCUGCUGUGAUGGAAUUGACCAACAUAUCAUGGCAAUGUGAAUAGAUUAAUUUACAUUGAGGCAAAUAUACAGCAGGAAGAAUCUAUGAAAAUAUCUUUAAGAUAUGAUUGAUUGGAACUAUAAAAAUAUGAAGUAAAAUGAGUAGAGUUACGUAUAUCUGGUAUAUUUCAUAAAUGGAUGAAUCUGAAUAGAUCAGCCAAUAAAUUCACUUUUAUCUUUACACAGAAUAUUUCAAGUGCCAUUUAUGAUCAAGUUCUUCCUUUAAUAUCCUUGUUUCAUAAAACCUUUUUAUGCUCAAAAGGUCUUCUGCCUUUUCAUCAUUUUAAAAGCCAAUCUUCUGAGUAGAGCGACUUAAAAGUCUCUUGACUUUCAGAAAGGGGCUCAGAAAAGAAAAAGUCCAGAAGCAAAACAAGACUUUUUCUGAAUGCACCCAGCUUUACCCGAGGGACCUCCGAUCCCCGUGGCUCCAAAGGCUUACACGACUUCCCAUUGCAGCUGAGCAAAAAUUGCUGGAAAAUCUCGGCAACUGAGACGGAUACAAUGGCGCAGGGUGUGGUGGGCUCAGAUAAAUGGUAGCGGGACACAGCGGAGUAUGGUACAAAUAACCGUCCUUGAGAAUCAAAGAAUCCAGCAGGCUUUUAGCCAAAUGGCUCAGCUUUCCUUAUUUUGCUCGUCUCCUCAGUGAUGCUGAAAUCCCUUUCUUGGCAGCCAAGCAGAAAAACAGCAGACAUUUUCCUUUUGUUGCUUUUAAAGCAGAUUAAAGGAUGUUGUAGUCUGGCAGAGCUUGCGCUACUUGCAUCCUGUAGUAUAGUCCUAUAGGUCUAUGGUGUGUACUCUGUGCAUAGUUCGUAUGGCAAUACAAUCCUCUGAGUUUACAUGAUAUGGAAGAUGAGGUUUAUUAUGUAUGUACAAAAUCAGUUUAGUGACAAAGGGAUUAUAUUCCUCUAUUAUUCAAAAAUUAAGUAUAUAAUAGGAUUUGAAGUGACAGUCUGUGUGCGUGUUUUUUUUCAAAGUUCUUUAAUGUUUUAUACGGUAAUUCUAACUUUGUUUGAGUUAUACAACCAUAGCUGACAAUGUGUGGCAGAGGAGCUGUUCCUUUGUGAUCCACUCGACCCUCUUUCCGUCAUACUUAGUCAGCAGAUGAUUCAUUUCACGUACACUUACACAGAAGGGCAUUUUCUUGAAAUUAUAGCACUACAUCCCUUCACAGGACUCCCUGCAGCUUCGCUUUAACAUCAUCACGCGGUUACACUGUGCCUGUGUGCCAGAGGGGUUUUUGGCUCCAGACCAAGUGACCACAGCUGAAUAUUCUACAUAUUUUUUUUAUUAAAGGCAAAAAAAACUGCAGCGUGAAGUCACCCUGAGAAAAGAACUUUUGUUGAGCGUCAUGCGGCGCCACUGGCUGUUUUGAGCCGUCCGUGUUUUCCACCUCUGUGCUUCGUUCCUUCUGAGUUCACUUGAGUAUGCUGGCUGGGAGGCAGAAGUCAUUUUUUAUUUUAACAAACAGAUGCAACAUCCUUCCACUGUUUUAACAAAUUAGCUUAAAGUGUUGUGUGUACAUUUUUUGUUGCUCCAGAAGUCUGUGUUUUGAUGGACAGAGAGGUUUACGGAUGACAAAUCCAAAUUUUUCACUCUCCACGUUCAGCAAGAGACAUUUCCCUUCCUUUUACUGUAAUCCCCCCCUCAUUGCUGAUGAUAUAGUCUCUCUAUUUCUGUCCCUGCUAAGAUUUCUUAUUUAUUUUAAUUGAAUCAAAUUUGAUUCAAGGGAUUACUCGACUCUCGAUUUCUUAUCGCUGCCCCAUAGAGCUGAGAAAUUGCUUCCUCCCUAGAGACUAAUCUUAAAGCAAUUUAUUGGUUUCUAAAAGCCAAAGGGGGGGGCGAGAAGAUGUAAGAAAGCCGCCACUUUUAUCUUUAUUGGUGGUAAAUUGCUGCAGCCAUUGCUGCUGUGAAGCAUUUUAUACAGAAACGUUGAGUGGAUUCAUUUAUCACGCAUAGAUGAAUUAACACAACUUUUUAAGAAAAUCUCAGGACUGGAGUUACUUUUGGAUUUCUAAGUGGAAUAUAAUUAUUACCCAAACACUGAAUAUAAUGAAGCAAGGGUUAAGAAAAUGAAUAUCAAAGUUAUCUAGCUAGCUAGUUAAGUAAGUUUCUGAUGUCAGAUUAGGAGGAAUGUGUGCAAACAUUUCUGUAAUAAACAAUCCGUCAUGAAUCCUUCUCACCGGAUCGGUCAGCUGUGGCGUGCAGAAAGAUCUCUCUCUCUCUCUCUCUCUCUCUGGCUCUCUUUUUCCUCAUUGAUUCUACACAUUUCUUUCACUUCAUAUAAAAAACAGCAAAAGUCUUGAAGGAAUUGUCUAAACGUGUGUACCAAUAUUCCCAUAUGUUUCCAAUAUUGUCUCUCCUCUGUCUUUAUGACCGAUUUUUCACUCCGCUGUCCAAUGUAAUUGUUUGAACAACAACAACUAACUAGUUUUGUUUAGCCAAGCGUGUCAUUUCACCAUGCAUAAGAGAUGCAGUAUUUGUCAAUACUUUUAGAAUUUUGUCAAAAUACGACUGAAUCAAAAGAUGUCCUGCUCUAUACGUCAUAUUCUACAGACAUGAGUAAACAUCAUUAUUUGGCACGGAGCCUAAAACAUAUCACACUGUAAUUAUAUGAAACCGCAUGCAAUUUGCCCUCGUUCACACAGGAGGCAGCGAGUGGUGAGUCACCUCCCGCACCAUAAAUAGAGGCUCAGUUGAGGCCAACUUCCUGUUUGUAUCCUGACAUGAUUGUUGGUCUGUUUCCACGCGUCUGCUGGACUCAUUCCAACGUAAGGAGAGCUUUAUGUCUUUUAUCCAUAUUAUCAUGUAGUUUGGUUUGCAUAUGUUUUGAUUUGUUUCUUAGGGCUCGGACUGACCCUAAUAUAACAUAUCAAAUGUUGUAAUUUCUUUUCUUUCUUUUUACAUAAUAAUGCCGUAGAAAUAUCGGAGUCGAUCCACAACAAUAACAUAAACAUGGAAGCUGAUGGACAAUUAAAGGACUUCUAUCCACUGUGAUCUGUGUGUUUUGUAGAAUGUUUCAAAUCAAUGACGUCCUAUGACCACUUUGGCGAUGCUCCCAUUGGCUGGCUGUUAUACAGUAAGUCUUGAUCAACCAUGUAGGGUCAGUUGGUGCCGCGUAGAGGACACACGGCCACAACAAACACCCCCUGAUACCUGCUAAUAGGAUUCCAGAGACCUGCUCUUCCAUUGGUCAGCCGCUCGGGCCAAAGCAAAGCUCGGUUGAAGUUAAAGGCCGCAAUGUGUGCACCAAAACCUUGCUGGGCCCCGCGGAUGAAAUCCACUCUGUGGUCUGUUGAUCUGGCCGGCGGUUUGAUUGACGCCGUGUUUGCGUUAGUUUCCAGGCGCGUGGGAGCUGCAGGGCGGCGGGCGCUCCUGUAGGGCCCAUUUGUCUCUGUUUACAGAACCAGGAACGUUCAGUCAGCAGCAGGUCAAGAGGACCGACCGGCCCCAGUGAGCGACACCGGCCCUCCAACACGCACACAAGCACACAAACGAUUGCACAAGGGGAGGAAGGAACCGAACGUAUUCUUAUGUACCCACAUCUGUGGUUAUUUAUUGUUUGGGGGAAGCCCCUCAUCCUUCUCUCCGUGGUUAUUAAAGACUGUAACAAAGUCUCAGCGGCAAGAUCCACCAAUUCUUCAUCCUAACAGAUGUAAAAUGCAUACACUUCAUUUAGAGGCUGUGGUUUUU